rnacentral:rRNA from 1 species
UACGUAGGGGGGCUAGCGUUGUCCGGAAUCAUUGGGCGUAAAGAGCGUGUAGGCGGCCCGGUAAGUCCGCUGUAAAAGUCAAAGGCUCAACCUUUGAAUGUCAGUGGAUACUGCCGGGCUAGAGUCCGGAAGAGGCGAGUGGAACUCCUGGUGUAGCGGUGGAAUGCGCAGAUAUCAGGAAGAACACCAACGGCGAAGGCAGCUCGCUGGGACGGUACUGACGCUGAGACGCGAAAAGCGUGGGGGAGCGAACAGG